rnacentral:rRNA from 1 species
UCGUCGGAGAGAGUGAACCAGCGGAGGGAUCAUUACCGAGUUUACAACUCCCAAACCCCUAGUGAACAUACCUUACUGUUGCCUCGGCGGAUCAGCCCGCUCCCGGUAAAACGGGACGGCCCGCCAGAGGACCCCUAAACUCUGUUUCUAUAUGUAACUUCUGAGUAAAACCAUAAAUAAAUCAAAACUUUCAACAACGGAUCUCUUGGUUCUGGCAUCGAUGAAGAACGCAGCAAAAUGCGAUAAGUAAUGUGAAUUGCAGAAUUCAGUGAAUCAUCGAAUCUUUGAACGCACAUUGCGCCCGCCAGUAUUCUGGCGGGCAUGCCUGUUCGAGCGUCAUUUCAACCCUCAAGCACAGCUUGGUGUUGGGACUCGCGUUAAUUCGCGUUCCUCAAAUUGAUUGGCGGUCACGUCGAGCUUCCAUAGCGUAGUAGUAAAACCCUCGUUACUGGUAAUCGUCGCGGCCACGCCGUUAAACCCCAACUUCUGAAUGUUGACCUCGGAUCAGGUAGGAAUACCCGCUGAACUUAAAGCAUAUCAAUAAGCGAAG